AGGUGAGGUAGAGGCGCGGAGAUCAUCAGUCCCACCCGGGAAUGGCGUUCCAUGAUGAACGGGUGCAAAAGGGAAAUCCGCCGAAGUGACCAUGCAUGACGUGUGCAUGGCCGCUGGGGCCGUAUCGAACAGAUCCGGCACUGUCACAGCUUAAUUUUGCUGUGGAGGACUACUGACAUG
rnacentral:ncRNA from 2 species